AGUGAACGCUGGCGGUAGGCCUAACACAUGCAAGUCGAACGGCAGCACAGUAAGAGCUUGCUCUUACGGGUGGCGAGUGGCGGACGGGUGAGGAAUACAUCGGAAUCUACUUUUUCGUGGGGGAUAACGUAGGGAAACUUCCGCUAAUACCGCAUACGAUCUACGGGUGAAAGCAGGGGAUCUUCGGACUUUGCGCGAUUGAUUGAGCCGAUGUCGGAUUAGCUAGUUGGCGGGGUAAAGGCCCACCAAGGCGACGAUCCGUAGCUGGUCUGAGAGGAUGAUCAGCCACACUGGAACUGAGACACGGUCCAGACUCCUACGGGAGGCAGCAGUGGGGAAUAUUGGACAAUGGGCGCAAGCCUGAUCCAGCCAUACCGCGUGGGUGAAGAAGGCCUUCGGGUUGUAAAGCCCUGUUGUUGGGAAAGAAAAGCAGCAGGUUAAUACCCCGCUGUUCUGACGGUACCCAAAGAAUAAGCACCGGCUAACUUCGUG
rnacentral:rRNA from 1 species